rnacentral:rRNA from 1 species
UUGCCAGCCCGCUCAAGAACUUAAUGAAUUGACGGGACCGCACAAGCGGCGGAGCAUGCGGAUUAAUUCGAUGCAACGCGAAGAACCUUACCAAGGCUUGACAUAUAGAGGAAACGUCUGGAAACAGUCGCCCCGCAAGGUCUCUAUACAGGUGGUGCAUGGUUGUCGUCAGCUCGUGUCGUGAGAUGUUGGGUUAAGUCCCGCAACGAGCGCAACCCUCGUUCUAUGUUGCCAGCACGUAAUGGUGGGAACUCAUGGGAUACUGCCGGGGUCAACUCGGAGGAAGGUGGGGAUGACGUCAAAUCAUCAUGCCCCUUAUGUCUUGGGCUUCACGCAUGCUACAAUGGCCGGUACAAAGGGCUGCAAUACCGUAAGGUGGAGCGAAUCCCAAAAAGCCGGUCCCAGUUCGGAUUGAGGUCUGCAACUCGACCUCAUGAAGUCGGAGUCGCUAGUAAUCGCAGAUCAGCAACGCUGCGGUGAAUACGUUCCCGGGUCUU